AUUGAACGCUGGCGGCAGGCCUAACACAUGCAAGUCGAGCGAGCGGCGGACGGGUGAGUAAUGUAUGGGGACUGCCCGAUAGAGGGGGAUAACUACUGGAAACGGUAGCUAAUACCGCAUACUAUCGGAUAACCCAUAUGGGAUUAGCUAGUAGGUGAGGUAAUGGCUCACCUAGGCGACGAUCCCUAGCUGGUCUGGGAGGAUGAUCAGCCACAGUGGGACUGAGACACGGCCCAGACUCCGACGGAGGCAGCGGUGGGGAAUAUUGCAUGAUGGGCGCAAGGCUGAUGCAGCCAUGCGGCGUGUAUGAAGAAGGCCCUAGGGUUGUAAAGUACUUUCAGUCGGGAGGCGUUACCGGCAGAAGAAGCACCGGCUAACGCCGUGCCAGCCGCGGUAAUUC
rnacentral:rRNA from 1 species